UGCAUUUGCUAGGCACAAUUCUACAAAGGA
rnacentral:piRNA from 2 species